UAAAUCCAUCAACUUUUCACACAUGUGUUUAGGUUCUAGUAAUCAUCAGGCUGAUUUAGCUUCAGGGAUUGUCAAUGCUUGCCUUAACUUCGGCUUACUUGGCCGCAACUUAAGUCAGUUGUGCCAAGAGAUUCUUCAAAAGGAAUCAACCGGAAUUGAAGUUUGCAAAGGAUUUCUAUUCCAUUGCCCAAAUCUUCAAGCACAAAAUUCAGCAAUCCUUCCUAAGAGCAGAGCAUAUCAAGUUCAUGCUGAUCUUCUACGAGCGUGCGGCGAUGAAGAGAUGGCACUUGAAACUGAGCAAAAGAAAACUUAGCAGGGUCUUCCAGUUGGUUCGCAUCAAAUCCUGAUAAUACUAGUGGUUGUUGCGGUGAGUCUUUCCACCAUAGGACGGUGAAGAUUGAACUACCAGUUCGAGUGGAUUUUGUUGGGGGUUGGAGUGAUACACCUCCUUGGAGUCUAGAGCGUGCUGGCUGUGUUCUG
rnacentral:misc_RNA from 1 species